rnacentral:rRNA from 1 species
GACAGAGGGUGCAAACGUUGUUCGGAAUUACUGGGCGUAAAGAGCUCGUAGGUGGUUUGUCGCGUUGUUCGUGAAAACUCACAGCUCAACUGUGGGCGUGCGGGCGAUACGGGCAGACUGGAGUACUGCAGGGGAGACUGGAAUUCCUGGUGUAGCGGUGGAAUGCGCAGAUAUCAGGAGGAACACCGGUGGCGAAGGCGGGUCUCUGGGCAGUAACUGACGCUGAGGAGCGAAAGCGUGGGGAGCGAACAGG